AGUCACACACAGGCAGAGAGUCACACACACAUAGUCACACACAGACGCACACAGGCAGGCAGUCACACACACAGGCAGGCAGUUACACAGAGUCACACACACACACAGGCAGGCAGUCACACACACAUACAGGCAGGCAGUCACACAGAGAGUCACACACACAGGCAGGCAGUCACACAGACAGUCACACACACAGGCAGUCAGACAGUCACACACACACACACACACAGGCAGGCAGUCACACAGACAGACAGUCACACACACACACACAGGCAGACAGUCACACAGACAGACAGUCACACACACAGGUAGGCAGACACACAAACAGGCAGGCAGACAGUCACACGCAUACACAGGCAGGCAGUCACACAGACAGUCACAUACAGGCAGGCAGACACAUGAACAGGCAAACACUAACACACAGGCAGGCAGUCACAGUCACACACACAUACACACAGACUUACCUCUUUCUGUUGUGAAAUCAAUCAAGUAAUUGAUUAUCUUGCAUAUCUGCCCCUGGCCAAAUUAAAGUAUGCGUGCACGCUCCUGAAGUAAUUCACACCAGACACAGGUUUCAGGUUAAUGAAAAACUUGAGGAAGAGUUUAUUCUAGGGGGGACGGCAUGCCCCUUAUAAAGCAAAAUUACAUCAUAUGCUUUGUCAGAGAUAACAUGGAAUAAUACAUCAAUAAUUGGUUAGGUGUUAAGUGGUUCAUCUAUUGCUCUUCCUACCGGGUGUGAUGUCACUGGCAUCAUGGAGGUCUCCCCCAGAUUCCAGCGCCAUCUUGUUAAUGAGGGUGUUAGUCAAUGACAAGGGGAAACUCCCUAUUGGCCAUUUUAGGUAAAUCAUGUAUAACGCUGAAUAAUGCUGAUUAUGGUUAUGCUGAGUAAAUAGGCAUUUUACUAACAUAAAUUGGGUUAAUAUUUUUGUCCACAACACUUUCUAUUAUGGCUGGAAGGGGUAGUGGAUGCAGUUGGUUGUUGGGGAAGCAGGAUGCCUUCCUGCUUUCCUCUUCCUGUGCAGCUUUGGGUAGGUAUUACCAGGGGCUUCAGGUAUGUAUCCCCACCCCGCUGCUCACUAAGCCCCUCACUAAGCC